rnacentral:rRNA from 1 species
GUGAAAUUGUUGAAAGGGAAUCGAAAGGAGGCAGUGUUGGUCUGCUCCCAUAUACGGGCUCUGCGUGCAGGGUUUGUGAUGGGGGUGGACAAGUCAGGCUUGCUUGUGUGUGCGGGAGAGGGUCAUCGGGCUUUAUGCUGGUGUUUCCUGCCGUGUGUGCGAGCGACCUCUGACGAAAUGCCUCUUUUCAUCCCGUCUUGAAACACGGACCAAGGAGUCUAACAUGUGUGCGAGUACUCGGAGUGAGACCUCCCAGUGCGCAAUUAACGUAAAGAUAGCGGCAACGCUAUUGAGGUAGGAAGGCCUGAGCCUGCACUAUCGACCGACCUUGAUCCUCCGGGUGAAGGGUUUGAGUGUGAGCAUACCUGUUGGGACCCGAAAGAUGGUGAACUAUGCCUGAGUAGGACGAAGCCAGGGGAGACUCUGGUGGAGGUCCGUAGCGGUUCUAACGUGCAAAUUGAUCGUCGAACUUGGGUAUAGGGGCGAAAGACUAAUCGAACCAUCUAGUAGCUGGUUCCUCCCGAAAUUUCCCUCAGGAUAGCUGCAACCGAACAGUUUUAUCAGGUAAAGCGAAUGAUUAGUGGACUCAGGGGUGCAAUGCCCUUGACCAAUUCUCAAACUUUAAAUGGGUAAGAGCCCUGGGUUGCUUAACUGAACCCGGCGGUGGAAUGUCGGUUGCUAGUGGGCCAAUCUGGGUAAGCUAGAUUGGCGAUGCGGGAUGCUCCGAACGUCAAGUUAAAGUGCCAAAGU